AGGACGAACGCUGGCGGCGUGCUUAACACAUGCAAGUCGAACGGCGCCCAGAGGUGAGCAAUCACCUUGAAGGCGUAGUGGCGAACGGGUGAGUAACACGUGAGAAACCUAUCCUGGUCUCUGGGAUAACAGUCGGAAACAACUGCUAAUACCGGAUGCCGUCGGAGCGUCGCAUGGCGCGCUGACGAAAGGGUUACUGGAUCAGGAGGGUCUCGCGGCCUAUCAGCUUGUUGGUGGGUAACGGCCUACCAAGGCAUCGACGGGUAGCUGGUCUGAGAGGAUGAUCAGCCACACUGGGACUGAGACACGGCCCAGACUCCGUACGGGAGGCAGCGAGGUGGGGAAUCUUGCGCAAGUGGACGAAAGCCUGACGCAGCACGCGCGUGACGGAGAA
rnacentral:rRNA from 1 species